rnacentral:rRNA from 1 species
UACGUAGGGUGCAAGCGUUGUCCGGAAUUAUUGGGCGUAAAGAGCUCGUAGGCGGUCUGUCGCGUCGGCUGUGAAAACCCGAGGCUCAACCUCGGGCCUGCAGUCGAUACGGGCAAACUAGAGUACUGCAGGGGAGACUGGAAUUCCUGGUGUAGCGGUGAAAUGCGCAGAUAUCAGGAGGAACACCGGUGGCGAAGGCGGGUCUCUGGGCCGUAACUGACGCUGAGGAGCGAAAGCGUGGGGAGCGAACAGG